CUGAAUCCGGGGGGCCCACCCUCCAAGCCUAAAUACUAGUUGGUGACCGAUAGCGCAUAGUACCGCGAGGGAAAGGUGAAAAAGUACCCCGGAAGGGGAGUGAAAAGUAUCUGAAAUCAUGUGUCUACAAAGUGUCGGAGCGCAAGCGACGGCAUGCCUUUUGCAUAAUGAGCCUGCGACUUACUCUAACGAGCGAGGUUAAGCCUAGUGCGGAGCCGAAGCGAAAGCGAGUGUGAAUAGCGCGUCUAGUUCGUUGGAGUAGACCCGAAGCUGAGUGAUCUAUCCAUGGCCAGGUUGAACCUGCAGUAACAUGCAGUGGAGGACCGAACCAGUUCAUGUUGAAAAAUGUUUGGAUGAGCUGUGGAUAGGGGUGAAAGGCCAAUCAAACUCAGUGAUAGCUGGUUCUCUUCGAAAUAGCUUUAGGGCUAGCCUUGCGAAAUUAGUUUGCGGGGGUAGAGCUACUGAUUGUUCACGGGCCCUUACCGGGGUACCAAGAACUAUUAAACUCCGAAUACCGCAAACCGUACCGCAGGAGUCAGACCAUGGGGGAUAAGCUUCAUGGUCGAGAGGGAGACAGCCCAGACCGCCGGCUAAGGUCCCCAAUCUGGACUUAGUGGUUGGAAGGAUGUGAUGUUGCAUAAACAGCCAGGAUGUUGGCUUAGAGGCAGCCAUCAUUUAAAGAGUGCGUAAUAGCUCACUGGUCGAGUGAUAUCGCGCCGAAGAUGAUCGGGACUGAAGUUCAGAACCGAAGCCGCGGAUCGCAACAUUCGUUGCGGUGGUAGAAGAGCGUUGUAUGCGGGUUGAAGCCGAUGAGGGAUCGGAGGUGGACUGCAUACAAGUGACCAUGCAGGCAUGAGUAGCGAAAAACCGGAUGAGAAUUCCGGUCACCGAAAACCUAAGGUUUCCCGGGGAAGGUUCGUCCGCCCGGGGUUAGUCGGAACCUAAGGCGAGGCCGAAAGGCGUAGUCGAUGGAGGACAGGUUAAUAUUCCUGUACCACCUUGUCGGAGUGAUGGAGGGACGCAGAAAGUCAGGUGAGCCAACUGCUGAACAUGUUGGUCGAAGGCCGUAGGAUGCACCAUAGGCAAAUCCGUGGUGCGCAAGUCCGAGAGUCGUAAGGUAUUCGGAGGCAACUCUGGAGAAUUCACUGUGACUACACUGACGAGAAAAGCUUCUAAACGUCGAUGACAGGGUGACCGUACCGAAACCGACACAGGUAGGUGAGGCGAGUAGCCUAAGGUGCGCGAGAGAAACCAACGUUAAGGAACUCGGCAAAUUGACCCCGUAACUUCGGAAUAAGGGGUGCCGCUUCCGGUGAAGGGACUUGCUCCCGGAGCUCGAGGCGGUUGCAACAAAGAGGCUGGUGCGACUGUUUAACAAAAACACAGCUCUAUGCUAACUCGCAAGAGGAUGUAUAUGGAGUGACACGUGACCAAUGCCAAAAGGUCAAUGGGAGAGGUUAGCGCAAGCGAAGCUUCGAUCUGAAGCCCUGGUGAAUGUCGGCCGUAACUAUAACGGUCCUAAGGUAGCGAAAUUCCUUGUCGGG
rnacentral:rRNA from 1 species